GAAUAUUAGGGCAAUCUGGCUACAACAUCUGUCACCCCAUUGAUUGUCAGGGUUGGUUCAGCUGAUGCAGCGGGCUAGGCAGGUGCCCCCUUCCUCCCUCACCACUCCAUAUGCGUCCCUCCCAAAGUUUUCCCGAAUAUAGCUGCGUUCACCUGCUAGACCCUCCAAACAAGCUAGCAAGGUAUCUCUAUAACAACACAAGUUCUUAAACUUCAAGUCAUCUCUGCAGC
rnacentral:snRNA from 1 species